AUGCAGAGUGUGUGUAUAUAAUGUAGAGUGUGUGUAUAUAAUGCACACACUCUGCAUUAUAUACACACACUAUGCAUUAU